rnacentral:rRNA from 1 species
AGCGAACGCUGGCGGCAGGCCUAACACAUGCAAGUCGAACGGAUCCUUCGGGAUUAGUGGCGGACGGGUGAGUAACACGUGGGAACGUGCCCUUUGGUUCGGAACAACUCAGGGAAACUUGAGCUAAUACCGUAUACGCCCUACGGGGGAAAGAUUUAUCGGGGUAUGAUGAGCCCGCGUUGGAUUAGCUAGUUGGUGGGGUAAAGGCCUACCAAGGCGACGAUCCAUAGCUGGUCUGAGAGGAUGAUCAGCCACAUUGGGACUGAGACACGGCCCAAACUCCUACGGGAGGCAGCAGUGGGGAAUCUUGCGCAAUGGGCGAAAGCCUGACGCAGCCAUGCCGCGUGAAUGAUGAAGGUCUUAGGAUUGUAAAAUUCUUUCACCGGGGACGAUAAUGACGGUACCCGGAGAAGAAGCCCCGGCUAACUUCGUGCCAGCCGCCGCGGUAAGAC